rnacentral:rRNA from 1 species
CGUGUAGGCGGUAUGGUAAGUCAGAUGUGAAAGCCCAGGGCUCAACCCUGGAAGUGCAUUUGAUACUGCCAUUCUUGAGUAUGGGAGAGGAGAGUGGAAUUCCCAGUGUAGAGGUGAAAUUCGUAGAUAUUGGGAGGAACACCCGUGGCGAAGGCGGCUCUCUGGACCAAUACUGACGCUGAGACGCGAAAGCGUGGGGAGCAAACA